UACUGAUUGUUAUUACUUAUAUAUUAUCUUUAUGUUAAUAUUGCACACUUUUCUUGUGUUUCUUUUUUAGACUCAGUGGCUGUGGAACACUAGAGAAUGCUGGUACAACUACCCAUAUCAGGCUCUAACGGUGGACCUGCACUACUACUACAUCCUGGAAUUAUCUUUCUAUCUGUCGCUGCUGUUCUCCCAGUUUACAGAUAUCAGGAGGAAGGCAGCCAAAAUGGCAAACUAUGCCAAGAGCCAGAGGCUUUGCAACGUCCUGUUCAUCAUGUUCGCCCUGGUUUUCAUCAGCUCCAGGCUGGGCAUAUAUCCUGUAUGGUAAGAAUAAUAAGAUGUCUAACUCUCUCUCUAGCUCUCUUUCUCGUUUUCUUUCUUUCUUUCUCUAGCUCUCCCUCUAUGUGUGUGUGUGGAGAGGAUUUUUGAAUGAGUGUCUGUCAGGAACAGAUGAUGUGUUCUGACAGUAGGAGACAGUGUUAAUAAUGUACAUGACACUGUCUGAAACCUAUCAAAUAUAAGGAGCUUCUCCCAGCUGUAUAAGAUACAGACAGACUGUGUGCAGAUGUUCAUGUAUCCAGCCUGGAUUGCAUCUGCUGUUUUGUACAGGAUGAUCCUGAUUGCAGAUUGACUAACUGUUGUAAUUAUCUCUCUAGGCCUAUAUUUCGGCUGGCUAGCUCUCAGUUUCUCAAUGACUGCUGCUCAGAGCUGGUUACUGUCAUUGGUUUCAUUAGUAUUUAUAAAUAUUAAGUCGGUCUUGGCAGUUGGCAGUAUGCUCUCUAACCAGCAGCACUGAAUGUGCGAUGCAUUUCUUUCCACCUCUCUCACUUUUGAUGCAUCUUACUUGUUGCCAAGUAAUAGUUACUAUGGCGACCACAACAGCAUAAAGUUUCUAGCCAAUUGAGAGCGUGAGCGUGAGGGAGAUACAGUGUGUAAGAGAGAGUGAGAGAGAGAGGGGGGGGGGAGCAGGAGAGAUGCUUGGGAUCAUAAUUAGUGCAUUACGCAAUGCAAAGUUUUAUUUUUAUCUACUUUAUCUUUAUUAUUCCGCCUGUACAGUGUGUACAGUUUUUGGAUAAGUGCAAUAGUAUAUGUAAAGGGAGUUUCUGGAGGAAAAAUGUUUGUGGCCAUGGCACUCACAUAGGAAUGCAUUGCAAUGGGUCUGUCAGCUUUUUACAGAUACAUAUACAAAAAAACUCUCUACAAACCACCAUUUUUGGAACUGCAACCACCAAUUUUUGCCCAUUUACGCCCAAAUCCAAUAGCAUAGUUUUAUGCAUUAUAUGUAUUAAUUACGGCCGUCAACGUUAAAACUUUAACGCAUACGAUUAAUUUGCAAUCAGUAAUUAUUUUGUUAUUGUGUUCUGUUUUUUUUUUUUUUAACACAAAUUAAUCACGCCACCAAAUUUGACCCCAAUGUCCCCUGUAAUCU
rnacentral:lncRNA from 1 species